rnacentral:rRNA from 1 species
AACGAACGCUGGCGGCAUGCCUAACACAUGCAAGUCGAACGAGACCUUCGGGUCUAGUGGCGCACGGGUGCGUAACGCGUGGGAACCUGCCCUUAGGUUCGGAAUAACUCCCCGAAAGGGGUGCUAAUACCGGAUAAUGUCUUCGGACCAAAGAUUUAUCGCCUUUGGAUGGGCCCGCGUUGGAUUAGCUAGUUGGUAGGGUAAAAGCCUACCAAGGCGACGAUCCAUAGCUGGUCUGAGAGGAUGAUCAGCCACACUGGGACUGAGACACGGCCCAGACUCCUACGGGAGGCAGCAGUGGGGAAUAUUGGACAAUGGGCGAAAGCCUGAUCCAGCAAUGCCGCGUGAGUGAUGAAGGCCUGAGGGUUGUAAAGCUCUUGUAGCCGGGAUGAUAAUGACAGUACCGGGAGAAUAAGCGCCGGCUAACUCCGUG